GGUGGGGUCCGGAGGGGUCCCAGGAGAGCAGCCAGCUUGGGAUCCUCUCUGGACAAUUUGAGUCAGCACACGAGAAAGCAGGAUGCUGUGGAAAGGCCCGCUGCUGCACAAGCAGCGGGUGAACACAUGAAAGGUACAGUGGCUGGACAAGCUGCCGGCCGGACUGUGGGACGGGAUACAAGGAAGGCCGUGGAGAAGGUGACGAGGCCAGAGGCUGAGAGACUCCCUGUAUGGGCAGAGGUAUGUGGAAGCUGAAUUCAUCUCUCCUGGAAGAAGUGACAAUAAGACAGUCCUUUGAGGAUUUCCUUCAGAGCCAGGAACCCUUGGUGGACCUCUGCAACA